UACGUAGGGUGCGAGCGUUAAUCGGAAUUACUGGGCGUAAAGCGUGCGCAGGCGGUUUUGCAAGUCAGGUGUGAAAACCCCGGGCUUAACCUGGGAACUGCAUUUGUGACUGCAUAGCUAGAGUACGGUAGAGGGGGAUGGAAUUCCGCGUGUAGCAGUGAAAUGCGUAGAUAUGCGGAGGAACACCGAUGGCGAAGGCAAUCCCCUGGGCCUGUACUGACGCUCAUGCACGAAAGCGUGGGGAGCAAACAGG
rnacentral:rRNA from 1 species